UGGCGGCAGGCCUAACACAUGCAAGUCGAGCGGAAACGAAGAGGUGCUUGCACCUCUGGCGUCGAGCGGCGGACGGGUGAGUAAUGCUUGGGAAUAUGCCUUAUGGUGGGGGACAACAGUUGGAAACGACUGCUAAUACCGCAUGAUGUCUACGGACCAAAGUGGGGGACCUUCGGGCCUCACGCCAUAAGAUUAGCCCAAGUGGGAUUAGCUAGUUGGUGAGGUAAUGGCUCACCAAGGCGACGAUCCCUAGCUGGUUUGAGAGGAUGAUCAGCCACACUGGGACUGAGACACGGCCCAGACUCCUACGGGAGGCAGCAGUGGGGAAUAUUGCACAAUGGGCGCAAGCCUGAUGCAGCCAUGCCGCGUGUGUGAAGAAGGCCUUCGGGUUGUAAAGCACUUUCAGUAAGGAGGAAAGGUUAAGUGUUAAUAGCACUUAGCUGUGACGUUACUUACAGAAGAAGCACCGGCUAACUCCGUGCCAGCAGCCGCGGUAAUAC
rnacentral:rRNA from 1 species